GACAUGUGUAAGAAUAAUGUCUAAUUAUCUUCAAAGAUGGAUACUUCAAAGAUUUAUGUUCUUAUAACGUUAUAUUUAUUAGUUUUCUGCAUCUUUACAUCAGAUAUGUGUACGAAAUCUCAAGGAAGAGAACUUGAUAAUCAAACACCUUGUACUAGAGAUGAAGAUUGCGAAGCUGGAUGUCCUGCAAAUCAAGGGCUAUGUAUUCGCGGGCGAUGUUGGUGCAUUGAUGCAAACAAUUUAGAUAAUAUUACUCCUAGUUUAAUACCUAAAAAUGCAGGCUGAGUAAUUGAAUAUUAUAACGCAAUCAUUUUGUUUGAAUAAAAAUAAGAUACAGGAAUAAUAUUUAUAAUAAAAUUAA